rnacentral:rRNA from 1 species
AUGCUACUUCAUGAGGUGCACUUGGAUGAGCUCACUGAGGAUGACAUCUUAUGGAAGCACACGGAAUCUGGGCACUACUCCGUGGCCUCCGCUUACAGGGCACAAUUUUUGGGCUUGGUCCUCUCCCCCAUGGACCAAAUGGUUUGGAAGGCUUGGGCCCCACCGAAAGUCAAGUUCUUUGCUUGGCUCGCGCGUCAGGAUAGGAUCUGGACCACUGGUAGAAAAAGAACCUAUAGUCCCGGUUCGUAA